rnacentral:rRNA from 1 species
UACGGAGGGUGCAAGCGUUAUCCGGAUUCACUGGGUUUAAAGGGUGCGUAGGCGGUUUGGUAAGUCCGUUGUGAAAUCCUGCAGCUUAACUGCAGAACUGCCAUGGAUACUAUUUAUCUUGAAUGUCGUGGAGGUUAGCAGAAUAUGUCAUGUAGCGGUGAAAUGCUUAGAUAUGACAUAGAAUACCCAUUGCGAAGGCAGCUAACUACGCGAUAAUUGACGCUGAUGCACGAAAGCGUGGGGAGCAAACAGG